rnacentral:rRNA from 1 species
UACGUAGGGUGCAAGCGUUGUCCGGAAUUAUUGGGCGUAAAGGGCGCGUAGGCGGCCAUUCAAGUGACGGGUGAAAGCCCUCGGCUUAACCGAGGAACUGCCUGUCAGACUGGAUGGCUUGAGACCGGGAGAGGUGAGUGGAAUUCCCAGUGUAGCGGUGAAAUGCGUAGAUAUCUGGAGGAACACCGGUGGCGAAGGCGGCAUCCUGGACCGGCAUUGACGCUGAGGCGCGAAAGCCAGGGGAGCAAACGGG